rnacentral:rRNA from 1 species
CAAAGUUAAUAAGGGCGCACGGUGGAUGCCUUGGCACUAAGAGCCGAUGAAGGACGUGACUAACGACGAUAUUCUAGGGGGAGCAGUAAGUACGCAUUGAUCCCUAGGUCUCCGAAUGGGGAAACCCAGCUGCUACUAGCAGUUAUUCAUGAGUGAAUACAUAGCUCAUGUAAAGGUAACGCAGAGAACUGAAACAUCUAAGUACCUGCAGGAAGAGAAAGUAAAAACGAUUUCGUAAGUAGCGGCGAGCGAACGCGAAGAAGGGCAAACCAAGAAGCUUGCUUCUUGGGGUUGUAGGACUGCAACGUGGACUUAAGCAUUAUAGUCGAAUAACCUGGGAAGGUUAAUCAAAGAGGGUAAUAAUCCCGUAGACGAAAUAGCGCUUAUACCUAGCAGUAUCCUGAGUAGGGCUGGACACGCGAAAUCCAGUUUGAAUCCGGGAGGACCAUCUCCCAACCCUAAAUACUCCUUAGUGACCGAUAGUGAACCAGUACCGUGAGGGAAAGGUGAAAAGAACCCCGAGAGGGGAGUGAAAUAGCACCUGAAACCGUGUGCCUACAAGAAGUUCGAGCCCGUUAAUGGGUGAGAGCGUGCCUUUUGUAGAAUGAACCGGCGAGUUACGUUAUGAUGCGAGGUUAAGUUGAAGAGACGGAGCCGUAGGGAAACCGAGUCUGAAUAGGGCGACUUAGUAUCAUGAUGUAGACCCGAAACCUAGUGACCUAUCCAUGAGCAGGGUGAAGGUGUGGUAAGACGCACUGGAGGCCCGAACCAGGACACGUUGAAAAGUGUUUGGAUGACUUGUGGAUAGCGGAGAAAUUCCAAACGAACUGGGAGAUAGCUGGUUCUCUCCGAAAUAGCUUUAGGGCUAGCGUCGAAAUGUAAGUGUAUUGGAGGUAGAGCACUGUUUGGGUGAGGGGUCCGUCUAGGAUUACCAAUCUCAGAUAAACUCCGAAUGCUAAUACACAUGUUCGGCAGUCAGACUGCGAGUGCUAAGAUCCGUAGUCGAAAGGGAAACAGCCCAGACCAACAGCUAAGGUCCCAAAAUAUAUGUUAAGUGGAAAAGGAUGUGGGGUUGCACAGACAACUAGGAUGUUAGCUCAGAAGCAGCUAUCAUUCAAAGAGUGCGUAAUAGCUCACUAGUCGAGUGACCCUGCGCCGAAAAUGUACCGGGGCUAAACAUAUUACCGAAGCUUUGGAUUGAUAUUUUAUCAAUGGUAGGAGAGCGUUCUUAACCGCGAUGAAGGUAUACCGUGAGGAGUGCUGGAGCGUUAAGAAGUGAGAAUGCCGGUAUGAGUAGCGCAAGAUAAGUGAGAAUCUUAUCCACCGUAAGACUAAGGUUUCCAGGGGAAGGCUCGUCCGCCCUGGGUUAGUCGGGACCUAAGGCGAGGCCGAAAGGCGUAGUCGAUGGACAACUGGUUGAUAUUCCAGUACUAGAUAUGAUCGUGAUGGAGGGACGCAGUAGGCUAAGAGAUGCCAGUUAAUGGAUUCUGGUCUAAGCAGUGAGGUGUGAGAUGUGUCAAAUGCAUUUCUCUCUAACAUUGAGCUGUGAUGGGGAAGCAACUACGGUUGCGAACUCUCUGAUGUCACACUGCCAAGAAAAGCUUCUAGCGUAAAGUCAUAUCUACCCGUACCGCAAACCGACACAGGUAGUCGAGGCGAGUAGCCUCAGGUGAUCGAGAGAACUCUCGUUAAGGAACUCGGCAAAAUAGCCCCGUAACUUCGGGAGAAGGGGUGCUGGUGUAAAAGCCAGCCGCAGUGAAUAGGCCCAAGCAACUGUUUAUCAAAAACACAGCUCUCUGCUAAACCGCAAGGUGAUGUAUAGGGGGUGACGCCUGCCCGGUGCUGGAAGGUUAAGAGGAGUGCUUAGACGUAAGUCGAAGGUAUGAAUUGAAGCCCCAGUAAACGGCGGCCGUAACUAUAACGGUCCUAAGGUAGCGAAAUUCCUUGUCGGGUAAGUUCCGACCCG